GUGCUACAAUGGGUAGUACAGAGGGUUGCCAAGCCGUAAGGUGGAGCUAAUCCCUUAAAGCUACUCUCAGUUCGGAUUGUAGGCUGAAACUCGCCUACAUGAAGCUGGAGUUACUAGUAAUCGCAGAGCAGAAUGCUGCGGUGAAUGCGUUCCCGGGUCUUGUACACACCGCCCGUCACACCACGGGAGUUGGAGACGCCCGAAGCCGAUUAUCUAACC
rnacentral:rRNA from 1 species